rnacentral:rRNA from 1 species
GACGAACGCUGGCGGCGUGCUUAACACAUGCAAGUCGAACGGAAAGGCCCUGCUUUUGUGGGGUGCUCGAGUGGCGAACGGGUGAGUAACACGUGAGUAACCUGCCCUUGACUUUGGGAUAACUUCAGGAAACUGGGGCUAAUACCGGAUAGGAGCUCCUGCUGCAUGGUGGGGGUUGGAAAGUUUCGGCGGUUGGGGAUGGACUCGCGGCUUAUCAGCUUGUUGGUGGGGUAGUGGCUUACCAAGGCUUUGACGGGUAGCCGGCCUGAGAGGGUGACCGGCCACAUUGGGACUGAGAUACGGCGCAGACUCCUACGGGAGGCAGCAGUGGGGAAUAUUGCACAAUGGGCGGAAGCCUGAUGCAGCAACGCCGCGUGCGGGAUGACGGCCUUCGGGUGGUAAACCGCUUUCGCCUGUGACGAAGCGUGAGUGACGGUAAUGGGUAAAGAAGCACCGGCUAACUACGUG